AACUUUCAACAACGGAUCUCUUGGUUCUCGCAUCGAUGAAGAACGCAGCGAAAUGCGAUAAGUAAUGUGAAUUGCAGAAUUCAGUGAAUCAUCGAAUCUUUGAACGCACAUUGCGCCCCUUGGUAUUCCGAGGGGCAUGCCUGUUCGAGCGUCAUUACACCACUCAAGCACUGCUUGGUAUUGGGCACCCGUCCGCCGAAAGGCGGG
rnacentral:rRNA from 1 species